AACGCACAUUGCGCCCCUUGGUAUUCCUUGGGGCAUGCCUGUUCGAGCGCCGUUAGCAUCCUAAAGCAUUGCUUUGUGUUGAGCAUUCCGGCUCGGAAGCUCCAAAUCUAGAUGCCAAUGACGACUUGCGUGAAGCAGUGAAAGUGCUAAACGUCUGUCGACUGUGGCAAGUCAACGACCGCAUGGCCUCGAAUCAGGUAGGGCUACCCGCUGAACUUAA
rnacentral:misc_RNA from 1 species